GAAGCAGGCUCCAUGCACCGGGAGCCCGACGUGGGAUUCGAUCCCGGGUCUCCAGGAUCGCGCCCUGGGCCAAAGGCAGGCACCAAACCGCGGCGCCACCCAGGGAUCCCUGGAUGUUUUGAGUAUUAUCUAGGUGCUGAUGUCACAAAAUUACAUCUUUAUAUGCUGUAUAUCCAAAACCGUGUACACAUGAUUCAAUAUUUGCAUAUAUUAUGAAAUGGCCAUAAUGCAUACUCCUAACUACACUCCUGCAAAGAGAGAGAACCUGUACCUGAAGCAAGCCAGGGAAUAAUCUUUAUGAUGAAUCCUUUGAGAACAUACCUUGCAGGAACAUGGUAGGCCUGGUAGGAGUUGACUAGUUCCUGAUGAAGACGGCCACCUCGGAGCACUCCCAUACCCAGCUGAUGAAGCUCGACGGUGAGUCAGGUGUCAAAUUUGUUGUGGAGGCCAAGAAUCUGGGCAGGCAGCCCAAACUGGGAGAGGGCCUGAAGUAGCUGGCCAGGUCACCCCAAAGGGCGGGGCGUCACUGGACAACGGAGGGAGCCUAUCGUUUCACGGGCCAGGGAGGUGCACCUGGAGAUCUGGCCGAAAGGCCUGGAGGAGGCUCAGCACAUCAAGGAAUCCGACCCAGUCCUCUCGUACCAUGAAACUGCGCGGCGGGAGAGGAGUGUGCUCGAUCCGCCCAGGCCUCCCAACACGCAGCAGCGCGCGGCUGCCUCACUCAGAAGCACAAACACGCCGCGAAGACCUGCAAGAUCUGGUGUUUUCGGCCCACCGCCCGGACCCUGACAUUCUCACCCGCGGCACCAAGGGCGUCUAGUACUCCAGCAAGAUCAAGGACAGCGGGGCGGCCGUCGGACACCGGACACCGAGGAGGGGGCGCUGCGUGCGGCCAGCGCAUGUGACGUGCGCCCCGAC